CGGUUGUGACCCUUUGCGGUCCCGUCUUUAGUUCGUUCUUGUUGUUUUCUUUCUCUUUUCGCUUGGGUUUUUUUGUCUUUUUUCUAUUUUUGGUUUUUCCGGUCUGUUCCUUGUUUGCGCCUGUGCUCUCAAGGGUUUUUGUUUUUCUUCAAUAAAAUUUCUAUUUCAGCAGCAUAAGGGAUUUAUCUAAAAGCCUUAUGUUCGCUAAACCCAUUUUCAUUUUUCAAAGUUGUCUGCGCAGACUUUCUCAUCAAGUAAGUAUCAUCUCUAUUAACUCAUGUACUGAGAGGGAGGCCUCCCUCUGCAGCACUGUAAUCG
rnacentral:lncRNA from 1 species